CGCAUUGUGGCGCAGUUGGUUAGCGCGCCGACCUGAUAAGUCGGAGGCCGCAGGUUCAAUCCCUGCCGAUGCGACCG
rnacentral:tRNA from 1 species